CAAUAGCGUAUAUUAAAGUUGUUGCAGUUAAAAAGCUCGUAGUUGGAUUUCUGGUUGAAGCGACCGGUCGGGCGUUGAUUCGUCUGCACUGGAGUCGGUUUUGGCCAUCCUCUAGGAAAGUGCGUCUGGUAUUAAGUUAUCGGGCGUAUGAUCCUGGUCUUUUACUGUGAAAAAAUUAGAGUGUUUAAAGCAGGCCUUCGCCUUGAAUACAUUAGCAUGGAAUAAUAAGAUAGGACUUUGGUCUAUUUUGUUGGUUUGCAGACCGAAGUAAUGAUUAAUAGGGAUAGUUGGGGGUAUUUAUAUUCCGAUGUCAGAGGUGAAAUUCUUAGAUUUUCGGAAGAUAAACUUAUGCGAAAGCAUUUACCAAGGAUGUUUUCAAUAA
rnacentral:rRNA from 1 species